GAUGAACGCUGGCGGCGUGCCUAAUACAUGCAAGUCGAGCGAACAGACGAGGAGCUUGCUCCUCUGACGUUAGCGGCGGACGGGUGAGUAACACUGGAUAACCGACCUAUAAGACUGGGAUAACUUCGGGAAACCGGGGCUAAUACCGGAUAAUAUAUUUAACCGCAGGGUUCAAUAGUGAAAGACGGUUUUGCUGGCACGGAUAGAUGGAUCCGCGCCGCAUUAGCUAGUUGGUAAGGUAACGGGUUACCAAGGCAACGAUGCGUAGCCGACGUGAGAGGGUGAUCGGCCACACUGGAACUGAGACACGGUCCAGACUCCUACGGGAGGCAGCAGUAGGGAACCUUCCGCAAUGGGCGAAAGCCUGACGGAGCAACGCCGCGUGAGUGAUGACGGUCUCCGGAUCGUAAAACUCUGUUAUUAGGGAAGAACAAAUGUGUAAGUAACUAUGCACGUCUUGACGGUACCUAAUCAGAAAGCCACGGCUAACUACGUG
rnacentral:rRNA from 1 species